rnacentral:lncRNA from 7 species
AUGCCAGGCAACCACUGCAGAAGCACACAGCACAGGGCCCUGCUUGAUUAGCACUUCUGCUGUUUCGAGAGUCCUGGAGUGUUUUGUUCAAGGAGCAGUGCGGAGGUUGGUGUGUCUCGGUGACCAACUGGCAGUCUGAGCUGCACUGAAACUGUUGGCACGCUCCAUUGUGAGAUGGGGAUUGUGCAGACUCCAAAGAGAAAAGCAAACAGGCACCAAUACAAUAACAGCUGCUUCCAACUGUAACACCUGACGCAAAGAUGUUAAACAGACCUAAAAGGAGGGACCAUUAAAUGAAACGUAUUCUUUUAGCUUUCACUUCC